AUUCUACACCCACUGCCUCAACAUUUAUUUCACUACAAUUUGAUUUGAUCUUAUAUUAUUUUUUUCUCUUUUUUUACAAAAGGAUAUUUCAUUAAAGAAUAUAAGAAUAAAGCUCAUAACUCAUUAGUAUUUGUUGCAUUGCUGCAAACCAAGCUCAAAAAUAAGAGUCCAACACAGAAAAUUACUUGAGCUCUAAGCUAAGUAAUGGGUACACAAUCCGAACUUGUAUUUCCAACAACUAUGACAAAGGGAUUGAAGCACAAUAUCACCACCAACAGAAAACUCAGUUACUAAGAGUAACAACAGAAACUCAAAGCACCACAUAACUAUGGGAGACUAUAAAAAGAAGAUAAGAACAACACCCCCGUUCAUAACUUGAGAGCUUCCUAAAUAGAUCCUUCAACUCGAGAGGUGAAGGCCGAGGAAAUGCGGCAAGCAGUUGUACAUAGGAGGCUAGGAAUCAAGGCCGGACAAGUUGGGAAAGACAUGGCUGAGAUUUGGGUGUCUCAAUCUUUUAUAGCUCAGUGCCCAAACUAUGGAUCACACCAUCACUUCUGAAUGCCAACAACACAAACCAAAAUACAAUAAAUACAAACAACUAAAGGGUAGAGGUAAGAGAAUGCCCUUCGGUUGGGGAGGACCUUUUCUUGCCCUUUGGGUAGGGGAAGCCACUAGCUUAAACUGGAGAUGAAAAAAAAA
rnacentral:misc_RNA from 1 species